GACGAACUCUGGCGGCGUGCCUAAUACAUGCAAGUCGAGCGAACCCGGGGUGCUUGCACCCUGAGGGUUAGCGGCGGACGGGUGAGUAACACGUGGGGAACCUGCCUUGCUGUCUGGGAUAACACCGGGAAACCGGUGCUAAUACCGGAUGGCCCCUCUCCGGCACCUGCCGGCGAGGGAAAAGGCGGCUUUGAGCCGCCGCAGCAAGAGGGGCCCGCGGCGCAGUAGUUAGUUGGCAAGGGAACGGCCGCCCAAGGCGACGAUGCGUAGCCGACCUGAGAGGGUGAUCGGCCACACUGGGACUGAGACACGGCCCAGACUCCUACGGGAGGCAGCAGUAGGGAAUCAUCCGCAAUGGACGAAAGUCUGACGGUGCAACGCCGCGUGAGUGAUGAAGGUUUUCGGAUCGUAAAGCUCUGUUGUGAGGGAAGAAUAGGAUGGGGAGGAAAUGCCCGAUCUGUGACGGUACCUCACCAGAAAGCCCCGGCUAACUACGUGCCAGCCGCCGCGGUAA
rnacentral:rRNA from 1 species